UACGGAGGGUGCAAGCGUUAUUCGGAAUUAUUGGGCGUAAAGGGCGUGCAGGCGGUCCUGCAAGUCCGGCGUGAAAGACCCCGGCCCAACCGGGGGGACGCGCUGGAAACUGCAGGGCUUGAGUACAGGAGGGGAUGCCGGAAUUCCAGGUGUAGGGGUGAAAUCUGUAGAUAUCUGGAAGAACACCAAUGGCGAAGGCAGGCAUCUGGCCAUGUACUGACGCUGAGACGCGAAGGUGCGGGGAGCAAACAGGUUGAGAUACCCUGGUAGUCCGCACAGUAAACGAUGUGCACCAGGUGGCGGGGGGUCGACCCCCGGUACCGUAGCUAACGCAUUAAGUGCACCGCCUGGGGAGUAUGCUCGCAAGGGUGAA
rnacentral:rRNA from 1 species